rnacentral:rRNA from 1 species
UACGUAGGACCCGAGCGUUGUCCGGAUUUACUGGGUAUAAAGGGUGCGUAGGCGGCCUUGUGCGUCAGAGGUGAAAUCUCCGGGCUUAACCCGGAGGGUGCCUUUGAUACGGCAGGGCUUGAGUGUGAGAGAGGAUGAUGGAAUUCCUGGUGUAGCGGUGAAAUGCGUAGAUAUCAGGAGGAACACCGGUGGCGAAGGCGGUCAUCUGGCUCGCAACUGACGCUGAGGCACGAAAGCACGGGGAUCAAACAGGAUUAGAUACCCUGGUAGUACGCGCCCUAAACGAGGUAUGCUUGGUGUUGGACCCGCAAGGGUUCAGUGCCGUAGGCAAUCUGAUAAGCGUACCACCUGGGGAGUACGAUCGCAAGGUUG